AUGCUGACCGUAGCCCAGUUCAGAAUAGGUCCCACAGGGUACACAGGUGGGGUCUUACCAUCAGAAAGUGAAUCAAGGGCGUGUGAUUCCAACUCAACGAACGUAUUUAUCAGAAUACCCUUGAGUUCUCUAAACCUGUUGGCAUAGCCAAGGAAAGCUUUCGCACCAUCCUUGUCCAAAAGGACGCUUGGCAAAACUCCAGCCGGAACCGAGUCGACAAAAGUUGGCAGUGUCAACUCAGCAUCCGAGCCCUUGAACUCGCUUACGUGCUUGCCAUACACGUCGCGAAUCGUUUGGAUAUUAAGUACCAGCCCGAGAAACCCGGCCGGCGAAGUGAAGAACAUGUACGUAGGAACUCCGAAAUCAUUGGCCACGUCGAUCAUUGUCGUGCAAAACAUGUCGAUGACAAACCCGGCAACCCGAGUCGACUCGGACUCUGACUCGGCGAGUUUGGAGACAGCAUCUUUGACGUAGGGUUUGUGGCUCUCGAUGAAUUGGCUGCGGAAGGCGUUGGGACUUUUGCGCGUGUCGAUGUCGGAGGCGGCCUGUGGGAGGGUGAUGAAGUUGACACGUGACAACACGGGAGAGGAUUGGAGGGAGGAUAUGUAGGCCUCUGUACCCUUGGAUUCGAAGGGGAGCUUCAUGAUGAGGACUGUGAUGAAGAGUUUCUCGUCUCGAGAGACAAGGAGCUUUGCCAUCUCCACAGCGGAGAUGAGGUGGCCGGUGCCGGCGGAGGGGAUGAAGACGAGUUUCGUUGGUUGCUUCAUUUGGAAAUUUAUUAGGAGUUUGAUAGCUUUGGAGGAAAUGAAAAUUUAAUUAGCUGAUUGAUGUACAAGCUUCUUUUCUUUAGAUGUGUGCUGUGUAUGUAUGUAUAUACUAUAUAUAUAUACACACAGAUA
rnacentral:sRNA from 1 species